rnacentral:tRNA from 1 species
GGACCGAUGGCUGAGUGGUCGAAAGCACACCCUUGCUAAGGGUGCGUACCGGAAACGGUACCGUGGGUUCGAAUCCCACUCGGUCCGCCA